rnacentral:lncRNA from 1 species
GGUUUCCAUGCAGGGAUGUCAGUCUGGGAUGCAGGGGCUGCCCAUCCAAGGGGAAGAGUCAUUGCCAACCCUUCCCUCUGUCCCCUUGCGCUUUCUCCAGCUGGAAGAGGAGAGAGACAGAGCAGAUGAGUACCUGCGCCAGUCUGUGAUGUACCUGCAAAGCCCACAGAAGUCCAUGCGAGAGGCAGCCGUCAGGCUCACUGCUCUUCAAGGCACAACAAAAAACUUUAGCCCUUCCAUCUCUAACCUCAUUACUCAAGCCCGGCACUUUCUAAGAACUGCAGAGAGAAAUCCUUACUCCAGAUUCAAGCUUCUGCAAAACCAGCUCUGUGAGGCACGGAAGAAGCAAACUUCUGUCUCGGGACGUGGCAAUGUUGGGUUACGCUGCAGGAAGUCCUUGCACUGCUGACCCCAGGAGCUCUCAGGGCCAUAUGAAUGGAAAUAUUAGGUGGAUUCUGGCCUCUCCCAACACACAGAAUAUCUCUUCUCUUAGAUCACUUUUCUUCACCCCUUUUAAAGACACUUUUAAAAUGCAAAAACAGGCACUAUUUUUUGUGAACUAAAGGUUCACAGUCUCUUUCUUUGGGCUCCUGACAGUCAGAGCCAAAUCUGCAGCUGGCACUGCAGCUGAACACUGAGCUAUCUGCACUGAUCAUAUAUCUCAACGCUCCCACCCAUAUUUUAAUUGAGCAUAUCUGCUAAUACACUAGGAGAGAAAAAAAUGUUUCAAAGCAUUUAACCACUGCUCUUACAUACAGCAUUAUAACAAAUAACAAACUUAACAGAGUUAAGGCUAACAAGAGUGUCAUAGGACAGAAAUAUUUAUCAAUAUGAAACCACAAAGGACCCUCAAAAAUCAGUUACUGAUCAAGAGAUUGAUCCUUCUCUAUUUGUUAGCAUAUUGAGUCAGGCAGACAUCACCAUCUAACAGAGAAUAUUCUGAAUUGGAAGGGACCUACAAUGAUCAUUGAGGCCAAUUCCUUAAAUAAACGGUUCAUAUGGUGAUUGAAGGUGUCUGUG